GAAGAGAACACAAUCAAAAUAUUGUAUCCGAUUACUCAAAUGAUUGGCCAAAGGUCAGUUAAACCGACUUAUUUUAAUAACCAAUUUCCAAGUAAACAUGCAUGGUUUCAAUCUAACCCUUUUCUUAAUUCUUCCUAAUUAUUGAUUUUGUUAAUUCUUUUGCUUGGUCUGGGGGUGGCUCUUCUCCAUUGGGAAGCAUAUCCAUAAACAAAGAUCCAUCUGUAGCUUCUCCAAUCUUCCUCGUUGCAUGAAAUUCUGCAGUCAGUUUCUCUCUCUCUUUAGUAUUGUCUCUUGCGGUGGUCGGGAUAUCUUGUUCAUUCUUGUCUGAAAAUAGGACGUUCUCUUCUCCCGGGAAGGCUCCGUUGAUGGUUCUGCAGGUGGCUGGUGAAAGUUGGCAAAUGAAGAAGCAAAUCAGCAGAAUAGCAGCAGUGAACUGGGAAUUUUUUAGGCUUUGUUUGGCCAUUAUAGAGAAAUCUUUAAAAGAAAGAAAUUCAAGAAAGAUUAUCACAAAAGGCUCUUUUUUCUGAUGUAGAGGUAGAAAGGGUUGAGGAUUUAUAUAGAGAAGAGAAGAAAUGGGGUGCCAUUGCC
rnacentral:lncRNA from 1 species